AUUGAACGCUGGCGGCAGGCCUAACACAUGCCAGUCGAACGGUAACAGGAAGAAGCUUGCUUCUUUGCUGACGAGUGGCGGACGGGUGAGUAAUGUCUGGGAAACUGCCUGAUGGAGGGGGAUAACUACUGGAAACGGUAGCUAAUACCGCAUAACGUCGCAAGACCAAAGAGGGGGACCUUCGGGCCUCUUGCCAUCGGAUGUGCCCAGAUGGGAUUAGCUAGUAGUUGGGGUAACGGCUCACCUAGGCGACGAACCCUAGCUGCUCUGAGAGAAUGACCAAGCAUGAAGGAACUCAGACACGGUACGUACUCAUCCGGGUGGAACUAGUGGGCAAUAUUGCAACAUGGGUUCACGCCUGCUGCAGCCCUGCCGCGUGUAUGAAGAAGGUCUUCGGGUUGUCAAGUUCUUCCCGCGGGGAGGAAGGGAGUAAAGUUAAUACCUUGGCUCAUUGACGGUCCCCGCAGAAGAAGCACCGGCUAACUCCGUG
rnacentral:rRNA from 1 species